UACGUAGGGUGCGAGCGUUAAUCGGAAUUACUGGGCGUAAAGCGUGCGCAGGCGGUUGUACAAGACAGAUGUGAAAUCCCCGGGCUUAACCUGGGAACUGCAUUUGUGACUGCACGGCUAGAGUGUGUCAGAGGGGGGUAGAAUUCCACGUGUAGCAGUGAAAUGCGUAGAUAUGUGGAGGAAUACCGAUGGCGAAGGCAGCCCCCUGGGAUAACACUGACGCUCAUGCACGAAAGCGUGGGGAGCAAACAGG
rnacentral:rRNA from 1 species